UCCAGUAGUGCUCAGAUGCCAUCCUA
rnacentral:piRNA from 1 species